GAGGGCCUGCUCAGUGAGUUUACAUGUUAGAGGGAGUGGGGUAUAGUGACACAGUAACAGGGUCCUGCUCAUUGAGUUUACAUGUUAGGGGGAGUGGGGUAUAGUGACACAGUAACAGAGGGCCUUCUCAGUGAGUUCACAUGUUAGAGGGAGUGGGGUAUAGUGACACAGUAACAGAGGGAUUGAGGGCCUGCUCAGUGAGUUUACAUGUUAGAGGGAGUGGGGUAUAGUGACACAGUAACAGAGGGAUUGAGGGCCUGCUCAGUGAGUUUACAUGCUAGCGGGAGUGGGGUAUAGUGACACAGUAACAGAGGGAUUGAGGCCCUGCUCAGUGAGUUUACAUGUUAGAGGGAGUGGGGUAUAGGGACAAAGUAACAGAGGGAUUGAGGGCCUGCUCAG